rnacentral:rRNA from 1 species
UACGGAGGGUGCGGGCGUUGUCCGGAAUCAUUGGGCGUAAAGGGCGCGUAGGUGGCCCGGUCAGUCUUUGGUGAAAGCGCGGGGCUCAACCCUGCGUCGGCCAGGGAUACUGCCGCGGCUCGAGCACUGUAGAGGCAGGCGGAAUUCCGGGUGUAGCGGUGGAAUGCGUAGAUAUCGGGAGGAACACCAGUGGCGAAGGCGACUACCUGGCCUGUUCUUGACGCUGAGGCGCGAAAGCUAGGGGAGCAAACGGG